rnacentral:rRNA from 1 species
AGUGAACGCUGGCGGUAGGCCUAACACAUGCCAGUCGAACGGCAGCACAGUAAGAGCUUGCUCUUACGGGUGGCGAGUGGCGGACGGGUGAGGAAUACAUCGGAAUCUACUUUUUCGUGGGGGAUAAUGUAGGGAAACUUACGCUAAUACCGCAUACGACCUACGGGUGAAAGCAGGGGAUCUUCGGACCUUGCGCGAUUGAAUGAGCCGAUGUCGGAUUAGCUAGUUGGCGGGGUAAAGGCCCACCAAGGCGACGAUCCGUAGCUGGUCUGAGAGGAUGAUCAGCCACACUGGAACUGAGACACGGUCCAGACUCCUACGGGAGGCAGCAGUGGGGAAUAUUGGACAAUGGGCGCAAGCCUGAUCCAGCCAUACCGCGUGGGUGAAGAAGGCCUUCGGGUUGUAAAGCCCUUUUGUUGGGAAAGAAAAGCAGCAGGUUAAUACCCCGCUGUUCUGACGGUACCCAAAGAAUAAGCACCGGCUAACUUCGUG